UACGAAGGGGGCUAGCGUUGCUCGGAAUCACUGGGCGUAAAGGGUGCGUAGGCGGGUCUUUAAGUCAGGGGUGAAAUCCUGGAGCUCAACUCCAGAACUGCCUUUGAUACUGAAGAUCUUGAGUUCGGGAGAGGUGAGUGGAACUGCGAGUGUAGAGGUGAAAUUCGUAGAUAUUCGCAAGAACACCAGUGGCGAAGGCGGCUCACUGGACCGGUACUGACGCUGAUGCGCGAAAGCGUGGGGAGCAAACGGG
rnacentral:rRNA from 1 species